GGUAACACAAGAAAGGAAAGGGACAACAACAAUGAACAAUUAGAAUAACAGUUAACUAGUGCACUGACUCAUCAUUAAGAUAGUUUUGUUUUUUUAAAAGCUAUGCAAUCAACAAUGACAUUAUGAGGUAUAUUAUGUAGCUUUAACUUUUAGGUCUUGUUUUUUUCCAACACUAAUGAAUAGUACUCAAAUUCCUGAUAACAUUAACUUAAGAAAAUGAUGAAACUAACAAAUAGGUCAGAUGAGAAAGUAACAUUGAACUGUACAACAAGAGCUAGGAGGCUAUGGAAUUAUUUUAUUUUUAUCUUUAUUUAAGAGCAUGUUCUUUUAAUUUGAGCAUGAUUUAUUGAUUUCAGUUCAGAUUUUGUAAUGCUUUCCCUCAAAACCCUGUCCUCGCACUCAAAUAGCCCCUGCUUGCACUUAGAUUUGCUCUGUUUCUGCUCAAACUGUGUGCUUGCACUCAGAUAUGUUGUUGCUUGCACAGAUUUCCUGCGCUCCAGCUUCAGCCCUUCUCCUUGCUCAGGCUGCUUCUGUGUGCUCGCAAAACUUCUGCUCUCAGAUUUCUACUCUGCUCUCGGAUUUUUUGUGUCAAAACCAAUAGAAUGCCAGGUGUAGUGCUGACCAAUAAAAUGAUCCCUGCCUCGUUAUGGGUGUGUUCACUUUACUUCUUAGAGCGUCCCAUACGGGCAGUUGCUCUUUAACUGGGUUAAUCCGUCCCUCCACGUCUUUAUAUAUAUAUAUAUAUCAUAUAUAUAUAUACUUACUUACUUCUCUCCACUAACACGGAGGAGCGGGGUUUAUGAUCUAUACAGCAGCCAGCCACAAGGGGGCGAUCGAGAUGUGUUGGCUUCACAUUUGGGGAGCUGUCAUGUCGUCAGGUCUAUGAGCAAAUGCUGCAUUCAAGACAACUCGGAACUCGAAAAUUUCCGACAUACAAGAAAAAGUACAAUGGAACGCCACUUAAAGUCAGAGUUCCUACUUGUGAACUCGGGGCAAAUCUAUCUACCCCGACUUCAUUAAGAAGCACUUGUCUGACGUCACACAACAAUGGCAGCACCCAUGGAAGCUCACAUUAGGCUACACUGCUGAGAGUUCAAUUGUGUGUACACUUGCCAAAGAAACAUCAGUUUGUCACGGUCGGCCAUGUUUGUUUACGUUUGACGUCGUGCACCUGGAACGCUUUGAAGACGGCGGCGCCAUCUUGUGAGGAACGCGCUCUGUUGUUACCUGUGCCUGCUACGGUUGUUAACAGAGUUACCUGCUUACCCUUUGUUUUGUUUGGCUAAAAAGUUGGUUAAAUCGGUCAAAUCUGAUAGGUAAAUUUGAAGGUAAAAGAAAGAAAAGGGACCCUACCUGGAGAAAAAUUGAAAAAUCCCUAGAAGCUCAUUUAACAGGUUUUGCCAUUGCUGAGUGGAUGAUCUGCUAAUCGAAGCAAAGUCGGACACCGGCAAGAGCACAGUCAUGCUUGUAAAGGCCAACACAUGCCUGCCAGACUGACCCACCACAGUUACACUUGGUGUAUCCCAAUUCUCUUAUUGCAUCCACGUUUCCCUCACUUGCGUCUUUUCAUUGGGUCUUAGUCCCUCCCACCGGGGAUGCAUGGGAAACCGAGCGAGGAAACGAGGAAAUGUGUUUUAAGGGAAAUGAAACGUCCUUUCCUCUGAAGCGUCACAUGAAGGGACGUCCAUUUCCGAUGACGGCGGCAGCUGAUCACAUGCGGCUGGAUCAGCUAUCAGUCGACUUUAACAGCUGUAGAGACGUUUGAUGGAGUUUGUGUCUGCACACAUGUGCACUGUGCUAAUACUAAUAAAGGCACACAGUGCCAGAGCAGCAGCCUGUUAACUGUUUAACAAACACCUGCACAUGAAUUUCAAGCUGCAUUCUGUAUUUAUACUGUGACUAUGUCCUGCUCAGAGGCACAGGAAUGAUUGCUACUGGCAAAAUGCAUUUAUAUAAUUUAUUUAUUAUUUGCAUCUGUAUUUAUUGAUAUUCUGAUUGUGAAUUCAUUAUUGAAUAACCCAGAAUAUGAUUAUGGUGUCUUUUGAACAUUGGAAAUCUUUUAUUAGGCUGUUUCUUGCUGACAGACAGACUCUCCUACUCUCUCUGACUUUAAUUGUAUCCAUAAUAAAAGUUAAUGGGGGAAAUAAAUAACAGAUCAUGAAAAGGAAAAUCUUUCUAAUAAAUGAAAAAAGUU